GGGUGACGAGCGGCGGACGGGUGAGUAAUGUCUGGGAAACUGCCUGAUGGAGGGGGAUAACUACUGGAAACGGUAGCUAAUACCGCAUAACGUCUUCGGACCAAAGUGGGGGACCUUCGGGCCUCACACCAUCGGAUGUGCCCAGAUGGGAUUAGCUAGUAGGUGGGGUAACGGCUCACCUAGGCGACGAUCCCUAGCUGGUCUGAGAGGAUGACCAGCCACACUGGAACU
rnacentral:rRNA from 1 species